rnacentral:rRNA from 1 species
AUCAUUACAGAGUUGCAAAACUCCCUAAACCAUCGUGAACGUUACCCCACAAUCGUUGCUUCGGCGGGCGGCGCCUCACCCGGCGCCCCCUGCCAGGGGCCCUAACGGGCGUCCGCCGGAGGCCUAUAAAACCCUUGUAUUAUUUUACGGCUUCUCUGAGUUUAUACUUAAAUAAGUCAAAACUUUCAACAACGGAUCUCUUGGUUCUGGCAUCGAUGAAGAACGCAGCGAAAUGCGAUAAGUAAUGUGAAUUGCAGAAUUCAGUGAAUCAUCGAAUCUUUGAACGCACAUUGCGCCCCCCAGUAUUCUGGAGGGCAUGCCUGUUCGAGCGUCAUUUCAACCAUCAAGCCCUGGGCUUGUGUUGGGGACCUGCGGCUGCCGCAGGCCCCGAAAAGCAGUGGCGGGCUCGCUGUCACACCGAGCGUAGUAGCAAUCACCUCGCUCAGGGCGUGCUGCGGGUGCCGGCCGUUAAACCCCCUUAACUUCUAAGGUUGACCUCGGAUCAGGUAGGAGUACCCGCUGAACUUAAGCAUAUCAAUAAGCGGAGGAAAAGAAACCAACAGGGAUUGCCCUAGUAACGGCGAGUGAAGCGGCAACAGCUCAAAUUUGAAAUCUGGUCUUCGGGCCCGAGUUGUAAUUUGUAGAGGAAGCUUUUGGCGCGGUACCUUCUGAGUCCCCUGGAACGGGGCGCCAUAGAGGGUGAGAGCCCCGUAUAGUUGGAUACCAAGCCUGUGUAAAGCUCCUUCGACGAGUCGAGUAGUUUGGGAAUGCUGCUCAAAAUGGGAGGUAAAUUUCUUCUAAAGCUAAAUACCGGCCAGAGACCGAUAGCGCACAAGUAGAGUGGAUCGAAAGAUGAAAAGCACUUUGAAAAGAGGGUUAAAUAGCACGUGAAAUUGUUGAAAGGGAAGCGCUUGUGACCAGACUUGCGCCGGGCUGAUCAUCCGGUGUUCUCACCGGUGCACUCUGCCCGGCUCAGGCCAGCAUCGGUUCUCGCGGGGGGACAAAGGUCCUGGGAACGUAGCUCCUCCGGGAGUGUUAUAGCCCAGGGCGUAAUGCCCCCGCGGGGACCGA